GACGAACGCUGGCGGCGUGCUUAACACAUGCAAGUCGAACGAUAAGGCCCCUUCGUGGGUACACGAGUGGCGACCGGGUGAGUAACACGUGAGCAACCUGCCCUUGACUCUGGAAUAACAGUUGGAAACAGCUGCUAAUACUGGAUAUUCAUCGUCUCCUUCCUGGGGUGUGGUGGAAAGCUCCGGCGGUCAGGGUUGGGCUCGCGGCCUAUCAGCUUGUUGGUUAGGUAAUGGUUGACCAAGGCUUCGACGGGUAGCCGGCCGCAGAGGGGGACCGGCCACACUGGGACUGAGAGACGGCCCAGAAUCCAACGGGAGGCAGCAGGGGGGAACAUUGCAGAAUGGGCGCAAGCCUGAUGCAGAAACGCCGCGUGCGGGAUGACGGCCUUCGGGUUGUAAACAGAUUUCAGUGGGGACGAAGGGUGACUGACGGUACCUACAGAAGAAGGACCGGCUAACUACGUG
rnacentral:rRNA from 1 species